ACUCUGAAUAAAAAAAUUCCUUUCAGAAGCCACAGACAAUUAGCUGUUGGCAUUGAUGAAGAUGUUGGUCAGAAAAGAGAUCAAUGCAGCUGCUUCUGUCAGCGAUAGAUGCAAGCAGAGCCCGUUCAACUUCUCUGGAAACCCUAGAACGAAGCAAGGAGAUGAUGUAUUGGAUGCACGGGGCAUCACAAUGGAGCAUGAUUGGACCGUCAUGCUGUAAUCCGAAUUCUUCUUCAGAGAUUUUGAGGAGCUCUCGGAAGAUGUUGGUGUUGAGGUAUUCAAUUGGUAUCAUGAAGCGCUCUCCGUCGAUUGUGUAGAUGAAGAGAUGUCCUUUGCUGGCAAUUGUGGUGGAACUGUGUCUGCAGAUAUGAUCAUCAUUAUCUGAUGAAUUUCCUCUUUUAGGUGAAGA
rnacentral:misc_RNA from 1 species